rnacentral:rRNA from 1 species
CCUACGGGUGGCAGCAGUGAGGAAUAUUGGUCAAUGGACGCAAGUCUGAACCAGCCAUGCCGCGUGAGUGAAGAAGUAUUUCGGUAUGUAAAGCUCUGUCAGCAGGGAAGAAAGCAAUGACGGUACCUGACCAAGCAGCCCCGGCUAACUACGUGCCAACAGCCGCGGUAAUACGUAGGGGGCAAGCGUUAUCCGGAAUUACUGGGUGUAAAGGGAGCGUAGACGGCUGUGCAAGUCUGGAGUGAAAGGCGGGGGCCCAACCCCCGGACUGCUCUGGAAACUGUAUGGCUGGAGUGCAGGAGAGGUAAGCGGAAUUCCUAGUGUAGCGGUGAAAUGCGUAGAUAUUAGGAGGAACACCAGUGGCGAAGGCGGCUUACUGGACUGUAACUGACGCUGAGGCACGAAAGCGUGGGUAUCGAACAGGAUUAGAUACCCCAGUAGUC